rnacentral:rRNA from 1 species
AAUGAACGUUGGCGGCGUGGAUUAGGCAUGCAAGUCGAGCGCGAUAUGUAGCAAUACAUGGAGAGCGGCGAAAGGGAGAGUAAUACGUAGGUAUCUACCCUCGGGUCUGGGAUAGCAGCGGGAAACUGCUGGUAAUACCAGAUAACGUCUCCGGACCAAAGGUGUGAUUCCACCUGAGGAGGAGCCUACGGCCUAUUAGCUAGUUGGUAGGGUAACGGCCUACCAAGGCAAAGAUGGGUAUGGGGUGUGAGAGCAUGCCCCCACUCACUGGACUGAGACACUGCCCAGACACCUACGGGUGGCUGCAGUCGAGAAUCUUCGGCAAUGGGCGAAAGCCUGACCGAGCGACGCCGCGUGCGGGAUGAAGGCCUGGUUGUAAACCGCUGUCGUAGUGGAGGAAUGUAGGAGAGUUAUCUCUUCUACUUGACUAAUACUAGGA